GCGCCGCACGCUCAGAGCCGGCGCUGAGGCCGCCGGGCGCAGGCCGGGGGAGGGGCUCGGCCUGCGCCGACCAGGCUCCGGCAUGGCGCGGCCCGCGCGCCGGCUGCCUCCCGCCCUCGCGAGACUUGGCGCCAGCGGGGUGGGGGUUUGAACGCGCGCGGUAAGGAGCGGUGGAGGUCGAGGCGGUGCGGAGGGGACGUCUGGCCGUGGGUUCCCUCCGUGUUCCUCCGCCCGUGUUCCUCCCGACCCAUCUUCUUACCGCGAGUUUUUCCUGAGUGUCUUUAAAUAAAGGUUUCUCGGCGCCGCUUUCGGUUCGUCGGUGGCCGCUUGGCCUGGCUGCCGGGCGCUGGGGGUCUGUGAGGGCGCCGCCAGCUGUGUACGUCGCACGGGCAGAGUGGCAGAGGGGAGGCGAGGACAGACUUCAGGCAGAUGCGAUGAAACAGAUUGGUUCAACAUGGACUUUUCACUGACGUCAGCAGAGGCUGAAACCUUCUGUUGAGGGAGAACCUUGCAGAUGGCUCAGUGGGUGUGCGAUGAUUUGGGUUUUUUUGUCCACAGACCGGAUCAUAGUAGAUUACAUUCUGCUUCGGGGCUUUUGUCAGCCGGUCUGAAACAUCGCCUGACAAAUGAGAAAGGCUGUGAAUUGUGUUUUUCGUUUCUUUUUGUGUUCAAAUAUAUAUUUGUUUGUUUAGCUA